rnacentral:rRNA from 1 species
GAAUUUUGGACAAUGGGCGAAAGCCUGAUCCAGCAAUGCCGCGUGCAGGAUGAAGGCCUUCCGGUUGUAAACUGCUUUUGUACGGAACGAAAAGCUUUGGGUUAAUCACACCGAGUCAUGAAGCAACCGUUAGAAUACGUACCGGCUAACUAAGUGCCAGCAGCCGCGGUAAUACGUAUGGUGCAAGCGUUAAUCGUAAUUACUAGGCGUAAAGCGUGCGCAGGAGGUUUUGUGAGACAGAGGUGAAAUCCCCGGGCUCAACCUGGGAACUGCCUUUGUGACUGCAAGGCUAGAGUACGGCAGAGGGGGGUGGAAUUCCGCGUGUAGCAGUGAAAUGCGUAGAUAUGCGGAGGAACACCGAUGGCGAAGGCAACCCCCUGGGCCUGUACUGACGAUCAUGCACGAAAGCGUGGGGAGCAAACA